GACGAACGCUGGCGGCGUGCUUAACACAUGCAAGUCGAACGAUGAAGCCCAGCUUGCUGGGUGGAAGAGUGGCGAACGGGUGAGUAACACGUGAGUAACCUGCCCCUGACUCUGGGAUAAGCGCUAGAAAUGGCGUCUAAUACUGUAUAUGACCUAUCACCGCAUGGUGUGUAGGUGGAAAGAUUUAUCGGUUGGGGAUGGACUCGCGGCCUAUCAGCUGGUUGGUGAGGUAAUGGCUCACCAAGGCGACGACGGGUAGCCGGCCUGAGAGGGUGACCGGCCACACUGGGACUGAGACACGGCCCAGACUCCUACGGGAGGCAGCAGUGGGGAAUAUUGCACAAUGGGCGCAAGCCUGAUGCAGCAACGCCGCGUGAGGGAUGACGGCCUUCGGGUUGUAAACCUCUUUUAGUAGGGAAGAAGCGCAAGUGACGGUACCUGCAGAAAAAGCACCGGCUAACUACGUGCCAGCCGCCGCGGUAA
rnacentral:rRNA from 1 species